UGUUGGACAAGCGGCGAAUGCCCGCGGCUAUGUCCUCCAAAGUUAAGAAGACUACUCGCAUAGUGUAAGUGUCUCCUCCGUUUAUCUAUCUAUUUAUUUAUUUAUUUAUUUUUACUUUUCAUCUAACCGUGGGCGGAUUAGGCCAACCAGUAGAAUUAGUAAGUUAGGUUAAGCCUAUCGUAAAUAUGCAAACAAGCAAUAGAGCCAGGCAUUGCCAGAUCAAUUUUUAGGUGAAAAUUUUGCCCAACUGAUUAUUACUAAGACUUCGACAGAUUUGAUCAAGGAUUAAUGUGGAUGAAUUCGCUUUCGUUUAUUCAAACAUGCAUGAAACAUGUGGAGAAUAAAACAAAAAUUCAGAAAAAUGAUCAAGUGGAUGGUUGGAAGGAUGGCCGUUUUCUAAAGUAUUAUUCAGAUUCUCUAUUGGCGUAUAUCCAACAUUCACCAUCUACCAAAGCUUGAUAGAUAAUGAAGCAGGGAGAAUACAUGGUCACGGCUAACCAGGCGUUAGAGUAUCUUAAUCUUAACUCUUAUAAAAAAGCCACGUGGUGGUGAUGGUACGUCGCCACUCACCACACCGUCACCACCCUUCCAAACCGCCGAAUUAGCUGAACUGCUUUCUCCAUUAAAAAAAAAUAAAACAAUACACACCCGCCGUCCAACUGCCUCCUCUCCCCCUUUGACGAGCGAGUAGAUCCAGGCGUCCAUUUAGCGGCUCUAGUGGAGAGGGUCAGUGACGGAGGAGGCGGCGGAGUGGCGGGCGUUGCCUCCUCUUCCCUUGCGUGGCGGGCGAUAGAUCCCGACGAUACAAGGAACGAAUUGGACGGAAAGAUUAGGAUUAUCGGGGU
rnacentral:lncRNA from 1 species